GGGAAGUAGAUGCCUUGGAUGGCCUGUGUUCUCGCAUCUGUGACCAGUCUGGUGUACAUUAUAAAGUAUUAAACCGGCGUAAGGGACCAGCUGUGUGGGGUCUGAGAGCUCAGAUUGAUAGGAAACUCUAUAAACAGAACAUGCAGAAAGAAAUCUUGAAUACACCACUGCUUACUGUUCAGGAGGGAGCUGUAGAAGAUCUUAUUCUUACAGAACCAGAGCCUGAACACACUGGGAAAUGCCGUGUCAGUGGGGUUGUUUUGGGCUGGAGUGCAGUGGCAUGAUCACAGCUCGCUGUAGCCUCGACCACCUGGACCCAAGUGAUCUUCCUGCCUCAGCCUCCUGUGUAGCUGGGACCACAGGCAUGUGUCACCACCCCUGGCUAAUUUAUUAUUUUUUUUUGUAGAGAUGGGGGUCUCACUAUGUUGCCAGGACUGGUCUUGAACCCCAGGGCUCCAGUGAUCUUCCUGCCCCAGUCUCUCAAAGUGUUCAUAUUAUAGUCAUGAGCCACUGAGCCUGGCCGAUUUAAUUUAAUAUCUUUAAAUGCUAUUUUGUGAUCCUGUCCAUAUUUUAUAGGCCCAACAAUAACAAUUUUUUUGU
rnacentral:lncRNA from 10 species